AUGUCUUGGGUUCGUGAAAGUGAUUCUUCCACAUACUUGCGGAGCGUCAAGCCAUCACUGAACUCUUCAUUAGUAGGCCGUUUCCGUGUUAGCAUUUCCAAAAGAACAAUGUCAAAAACUAAGAGGCGCAAACAAAAUAAUCCAGCUGAUGAUCCUACUAAACAGUUAUUGGAUGAUAAUAUUUCCAUAAGGAAAAAGCUCAAAAUGUUAAAUCGAAUAGCUACAGUCAAGGAUGAUGGAACUGUGGUUGUUAAUGUACCAAGUACUCUAGAAGCGACUCCAAUUGACGUUGGAGCAGUGGAUGGCUAUGAGGAUGUUGUUGUUGAAGAAUCAUUAGAUGGAUCAGAUAUACCAUACAGACCUCCAAUACAGAUUGUUAUACUUAUCGUGGGUACAAGGGGAGACGUUCAGCCAUUUGUUGCAAUAGGAAAACGCUUACAGGAUUAUGGACACCGUGUGAGAUUAGCCACUCAUGCUAACUAUAAGGAGUUCAUACUCACAUCCGGGCUGGAGUUUUUUCCACUGGGUGGAGAUCCAAAAGUACUUGCUGAAUACAUGGUGAAGAAUAAAGGGUUCCUACCUUCAGAAAUUAUAUUUUCCCUACUGCCUGCAUGCAAGGAUCCUGACCCUGAUACCGGUAUUGCUUUCAAAGUGGAUGCAAUUAUUGCGAACCCACCAGCAUAUGGACAUACACAUGUGGCAGAGGCGCUAAAAGUACCCAUUCAUAUAUUCUUUACCAUGCCAUGGACGCCAACUAGCGAAUUUCCUAAUCCUCUUUCUCGAGUGAAAACAUCAGCUGGAUAUCGACUUUCUUACCAAAUUGUUGACUCUAUGAUUUGGCUUGGGAUACGUGAUAAGAUAAACGAAUUCAGGAAAAAGAAGCUGAAGCUGCGUCCAGUAACAUACCUAAGUUGUGCACAGGGUUCUGGAAGUGACAUUCCUCAUGGAUACAUCUGGAGCCCUCACCUUGUCCCAAAACCGAAAGACUGGGGCCCCAAGAUCGAUGUUGUUGGAUUUUGCUUUCUCGAUCUAGCGUCUGAUUACGUACCACCUGAAGAACUUGUGAAAUGGCUUGAAGCAGGUGACAAACCCAUUUAUGUUGGUUUUGGUAGCCUUCCAGUUCAAGAUCCAGCAAAGAUGAUUGAAACCAUUGUCAAGGCACUCGAAAUGACUGGACAGAGAGGUAUCAUUAACAAGGGUUGGGGUGGUCUCGGAACAUUGGUAGAACCAAAAGACUCCAUAUAUGUUCUUGACAACUGCCCUCACGACUGGCUUUUCCUGCAGUGUAAGGCAGUGGUACACUAUGGUGGUGCUGGAACGACGGCUGCCGGCCUGAAAGCAGCGUGUCCUACAACUAUUGUACCUUUCUUUGGCGACCAACCAUUCUGGGGAGAGCGGGUGCAUGCUAGAGGGGUAGGGCCUUCGCCUAUACCGGUGAAAGAAAAGGCCGUGGAGCUUGCCAAGGCCAUGGAAUCAGAAGACGGUGUAACGGGCGCAGUCAGGGCAUUCCUCAAACACCUGCCCUGUAAAACAGACGAAAAUUCACCCCCACCAAUGCACGGCUUUCUAGAGUUCCUAGGCCCAGUAAGUAAAUGUUUGGGGUGCUCUUAG
rnacentral:rRNA from 1 species